rnacentral:lncRNA from 1 species
CUCCUGACCUCAAGUGACCUACCCACCUCGGCCUCCCAAAGUGCUGCUUUAAAGUUUUGAAACUACUGGACUAAAUCAGAGGUUCUCAACCAGAGGCAGUUUUGCCUCAUUCCCCUUGGGGACAUACGCUAGUGUCUGGAGAUAUUCUUGAUUGUCACAACUGUAGGAGGGUGCUACUGGCAUCUAGUGAGUGGAGGCCAGAGAUGCUGCAAAACAUCCUACAAUGCACAGGUCAGCUCCUUACAGCAAAGAAUUAUCCAGUCCUAAAUGUCAAUAGUGCCAAGGUUGAGACAACCUGGAUUGGAUAUUUCCCGGCUCCCACCCUUGUUCUCCUUAAGAACUUUGGUUCCUGCUUGCUUCUCUGACUAUUCCUACUUGAGACAAGAAGAAUGCAGCAUUUGAGUUCUUGCCUUGGACCAAAUCUGGGCACCAACCAGCUUGGCCGCUGCCCCAGCUGGGCUGGCUCCAGGCCCACCAGGAAGGGCACGUGGAUGGUCUCAUGCUUCCCCACUUCCCUUUAAUGCUUUGUUAACAUUUGAAUUACAACACUCACUACAGAAACUACAGCAAGUUGUAAACAUGUCCCCCCACCCCAAGGGGCCAGGGCCAUACUUUAUUCAUCUCUGUUUUUUCCACAGCACCAAGCUCUGUGCAGUUGAACUGGGUAGGUGUUCGAUAGACAUUCAUUGCAUCAAAUAGAUUAAUAUCACUUUAAUUUUUAUCAUGCAUCUGGGCAUCUCUUUGAAAGGUCAUGGAUGUAGAGAAUAUAAAUGCCCGUUAAAGCAAGAGCUCUUGUGUUUCUGUUCCUGUGGAGUGCAGCUGAAAUGACCGCUACUGCUCCUUCACAGUAUAUUUACAUGAGCUUCCUGUGGACAUCAGCACCAUUUAAAAUUAAGGCUGGAACACAGAUGUGGGGCUGGAAGUGGAGCAGCCCCUUUUAGCCAUGAGGCCCAAAGCCACAUGCUAAGGAUGGUGAAGCAGGGGAUAGAAAGAGCCUGUGUCUUUGCUGACUUCCUUAAGCCACGGCACCAGCCUGGGCCUGCCCUACUCUGGACAUCUAAAUGUCAGGAGCUAAGAAUCAAGUCAGUCUAGAGGUGUUCGUUGCCAUGUGGAGAGAUCCUUCCCAAGAAGAAAGAUGCUACAAAGUGUCCUGGAAAUCCUCUUUGCCCAUCCAGAUCCACCCUCCCUAGCCUGCUCUGUACCUCAGGAAGCUGCUUUUCAUGGUUCACAUAAACCAGGCUCCUGUACCCUCCAGAUAGGUCCAUCCUAUGGGUGGUACCAGCAGGAGACCAGAGAGAUGAAGGAGGGAAAAAAAGAACAUUAGGGGUUGAAUUGUAUCACCCCAAAAUUCAUAUGGUGAAGUAUAACCCCUUCGGAAUGUAACCUUAUUGGAAAUGUCAGAGGCACGUGAACCAGAGCAACUCCAUCUUGAAUAGGGGCUGGGUAAAAUGAGGCUGAGACCUAUUGGGCUGCAUUCCCAGACGGUUAAGGCAUUCCAAGUCACAGGAUGAGAUAGGAGGUUGGCACAACAUAUAGGUCAUAAAGACCUUGCUGAUGAAACAGUUGCAGUAAAGAAGCCAGUCAAAGCGCACCAAAACCAAGAUGGCGACAAGAGUGACCUCUGGGCAUCCUCACUGCUACACUCCCAGCAGCACCAUGACAGUUUACAAAUGCCAUGGCAACAUCAGAAAGUUACCCUAGAUCAUCUAAACAUGGGAGGCAUGAAUAAUCCACCCCUUGCUUAGCAUAUACUCAAGAAAUAACCAUAAAAAUGGGCAGCCAGCAGCCCUCGGGGCUGCUCUGUUUAUGGAGUAGGCAUUCUUUUAUUCCUGCACUUUCCUAAUAAACUUGCUUUCACUUUACGGACUUGCCCUGAAUUUUUUCUUGCACAAGAUCCAAGAACUCUCUUGGGGUCUGGAUCAGGACCCCUUUCCCAUAACAUACCCUCCAGAUCAGUCCAGCUAACGAGAGACCAGCAGGAGAUCAGAGAAAUGGAGAAGGGAAAGGCAGAGUGUUAAGGGUUGAAUUGUAUCACCCCAAGAGUCAUAUGUUGAAGUAUAACUCCCAAGCCCUCAGAAUAUGACUGUAUUGGAAACGGGAUUGUCACAGAUGUAAUGAAUUAAGCCCAGCCGCUCCUGAAAGACAAAGCAGUUCCACUGAGAGUGAACAAAUUUGGGGCUCUAUUAACAAGGAAGAAGAGAGAUGCUGUUGGGUAGACAAACAGUGGCAGAUCCUUGAUGAUACUCUACUAGAUCCUGGGUCCAGCUAUGACUGAAGCCAAAAUUCCCUGGACCUUUCAGGUAUAAGAACCAAUAUAUUCUCUUUUGCACUUAAGCCAGUUUGCAUUAGGUUGUUUAUUAUUUGAAACAGAGACUUUUUAGCACUAUUAUUGUCUUCUCCAAUCAGUUAACCACGAUUUAUCCUUCAUGAUGCCUCCAGCAAGCCUUUCUGAGCAUUCUCAUUGUCUUUUUAAAAAAUUAUAUAUUUUUUAAAAUUUUAGAGACAGAGUCUCUCUCUGUCACCCAGGCUGGAGUAUAGUGGCAUGAUCUCUCUCCAGCCUCAAACUCCUGGGCUCAAGCAAUCCUUCUGCCUCAGCCUCUUGAGUAGCUGGGACUACAGACACAUGCCACCACACUGGCUAAUAUACUUUUAAAACUUUCUGUAGAGACGGGGUCUCACUCUGUUGCCCAGGCUGGUCUCAAACUCCUGGGCUCAAGUGAUCCUCCUGCCUCCUGCCUCAGCCUCUUGAGCAGUUGGGACUACAGGCAUGCACCACCACACCUGGCUAAUAUAUUUUUAAAACUUUUUGUAGAGAUGAGGUCUCACUAUGUUGCCUAAGCUGGUCUCAAUCUCUUGCGCUCAAGUGAUCCUCCCGUCUCGGCCUUCCAAAGUGCUAGGAUUAUAGACAUGAACCACUUUGCCCAAUCUCACCCUCUUCAGUUUAGGGUGGGCUCUACUCCAGUUUUCCGUGUGCUUGUCUGUCAUAGCACCUGAGACUGUAACAUGAGUCUGCCAUGUCUAUCUUCCCUAGUGAAUCAUAAGCUCUGUGACGACAGGCCACAUAUACAUGUCUUUUUUUUCUUUAUAUCCCCAGUGCUUAACUGACUGCACUGAGGCUGGGCAUGGUGGCUUACACCUGUAAUCCCAGCACUUUGGGAGGCCGAGGCAGGCGGAUCACCUGAGGUCAGGAGUUUGAGACCAGCCUGGCCAACAUGGCAAAACCCCAUCUCUACUAAAAAUACUAAAAUAAGCCAGGCAUGGUGGCACGUGCCUGUAAUCCCAGCUACUCAGGAAGCUGAGAGAGGAGAAUCGCUUGAACCUGGGAGGCGGAGGUUGCGGUGAGCUAUCACGCCACUGCACUCCAGCCUGGGCAACAGAGCAAGACUCCAUCUCAAAAUAAUAAUAAUAAUAAUUAAUUUUAAAAAAUUGACUGCACUGGACAGAGCAGGUGAGCAGUCCCUGUUGAGUAAAUGAAUGAAUGAAUUCACCAUUCAACUCUCAAGCAUCAAAGCAAGAAAAAAACUCAUGUACACAGGUUCUGAUAUUUACAAGUAGGAAUUGCUAAUAUAAUUGUAGACAAUUUCUCUUUACUUUCUUCCCACAAUAUUUUACUAGGAAAAUGUUUCCAUAAUUUUUUUUCUUUCUUCCUCUUUAGUUUGAAAUGGCAAACUCAGCUUUAUAAUUCAAGAUAAGGUUGAAACGAUUGUUGUGAAAUUGAUGUUUCACCAAAAAGAAAAGUUCUCCUUAACACUUUUUACCGAAACCUUUAUUGGAGUUUUUAGUAAAUAAAAUAUCGUGGUGCCUGAGUUACUGGAGAUUAUCUGCAAUCUUUUACCUCAUUGCUGAAACCCCUUUAUGAAAAAAUGGAAAUACUGCUGGUUGGCGUAAUAAAAUGUAUGUAUCAGACCAUGUAAUGGGGUCCUCUAAUCUGCCCUGCAAGAAUAGAAGUCCCUUCAAAAAGCCAUCUUUAACCAAAAUAAGAAAAUACUUGUAUAACAAUGCAAAUAUGUAACUAGCCUGAAUUGCCGUAUAAUAAUUUAAACAAUCUGGCAAUUGUAGGAUGGCAGUGUCUCUCUCCCGCCCUACAAAAGAUGCAUUGUUCCCUUGGCAUUUAUCACAUCAUUUAGUGGUAAAGAUUUCUUCUGUAAAGAGAAUGCAGCUUGACUUUAAUAAACAGACUUUAAAAAUAGCCAAAUGGUCUGAUGUAUGACGGUCAUGCACACAGAUUUAAUCACUUUCGAUGCAAAGAAAUAAAAUGGAAGAAAUAGUGUUUUCCUUCUGUUCUGGGCAAGCGUGGACGUGCUGUGCAUACCCAGACAUGUGGAACAGUGGGGAUAUUGUUCAGCUGUUGUUUAGUUUAAAAAUUAUCUGCUGAGGAGCUGAAAGAGAGAAGGAAAAGCAAAUGAAAAGUUGUGGUGAGUGAUGAAAUAAGAGAGGAAGUAGGAGAGAAAGAAAUUAAAGAGCGAGAUUUAGACAGCGAGGGCACCCAGGGUUUAUGUAAUGUGGGCAAAUACACUGAGUCCUUGAUUGUUAAAGGGUGAAAAUGCUUAUGUUUGUGAGAGCAGAGGGAACAGUUAAGGCAGCCUCUAACAAGGUUUAAAAAUAUUCUUUUAAUCUAUAAUUAAAAGGAAAAAGACUAGGUGUCAAGGGUUAAGGCAUCAUCAUGUCCUCAUUAAGUCUGCAACUUACUCUGAAAUGCAUCCAAAAAACCGAGAUGAAUGAAUAGAGGGAUGGAUUGCUGGGUUCAUGGAUAUGUGAUAAAACAAAUAAAGCAAAAUGGAAAUUGUAGAAUCAAGGCAGUGGAUAUGUGGGAAUUCAUUCCAAAAUUCUCUCAGUUCAUCUAUCUGAUUAAAUUUUUUUAAAUAAUAAAAUUAGAAGAGAGGGAAAUAGGAGGAAAAUACCAUCAUAAAAGACCCAGACCUCUAAAAGAGAAAAUGCAGAAUUUUGUUUUUUGAGACAGAGUCUCACUCUGUUGCCCAGGCUGGAGUGCAGUGGCACGA